UUUCCGUAGGUGAACCUGCGGAAGGAUCAUUCAUAAUAAAGUGUUUUAUGGCACUUUUUAAAAAUCCAUAUCCACCUUGUGUGCAAUGUUAGAUCUCGUCAAUCUUGGCGAGGUUUUUAUACAUCAACUCAUUCUUUAACUAAUUUGUCUGAAAAAUAUUACGAAUACUUAAUUCAAAAUACAACUUUCAACAACGGAUCUCUUGGCUCUC
rnacentral:misc_RNA from 1 species